AAACGACAAAAAGUGAAAUAUUAUAUUACCAUGUUUUGUUUUAUAAAAAACAUAUUAUUGAUCGAAAUGUUUUUAUGGUAAUGGGCCAACGUCGCAAUGUAAAGAAGUGCCAAUAGGCAAUUACAGUGAAUCUAUUACGACCAUUAAUGGCGAAUUUUCAAAUGGAAUUUAAAAGUAGCGCUAAGAGAAGAAAACUGCUCGAAAUGGAAGCUGCUUUUAAGGGAAUCGACCAUUGGGAAGGCUUGUUAAAUAUCGUAUGACUCGACGGUUCGUGCGAUGGCGCCAUCUUAAGGAUUCGAGCAAUUCCGUGAAGAAUCGGCAAUCUCCGGGCCGAUGAUUGCCGAACGCACAUUACUAUUUUCAGGCACACAAGGCACCUCUUGACGGGUUUUUAAUAAGGAGAGAGAAAGAGAGAGAGGGCGAAACUGUCUCUCGUGUGAUAUAGAAAACGUUUUUCCUUUUUUUCGUUCCUUGUCAUUGAAGAUUUACCGUACGGAAUAAAAGGUUUGAAAAAUCAUAGUCGUCCGUGCCGUGAGCGCGUUCGAGAAGCCGAAAAGAAAUAGAAAGAGAGAGCGCGAGCGAGUAAACGAGCCAGCAAGAGAGAGAAAGAGAGGGGGAGGAAAACAGAGAAAGAGAGAGAGAGAGAGAGCGAUAAAGGAAAAGAUGCUCGAUCGUCGUCGGGUCUCGUCGGUUCUCGACGCCUGACGAGGUCGUGCUCAUCGUCUCUACAUCGUUCGUCGGCGAAAAUGAAAGAAGCUCGUCGUCUCUACGAGCAGCUGAUGGCGGCCGAGCGCCGUUCGAGCCUCCUCCGACGUUUCUCGUGUACGCGUUCCUAGUGUGUGAAUGCGUAUUCAAUAUCCUGAAUUCACGGAGGAAAGUGCCGAGAG